CCUCCCUCCGCCACCACCCCCUUCGCCUCUCCGCCCUUCGAUGCCCUCGCGGGCUUCUUCCGCGACCACCACCGCAGCCGCAAUAGCAACCGCCUCGGCGGCCAUGCCAACUCAGCGCAACCGAGGUCACGAAUCCUGGCGGUAUGUAGAUCUUGGGGUUCGUCCACAUGCAUCGGGAAUACUAUGUGGAUCGCGGCCACAAUCACAAUCUCUGGGAAGAGCCUAGACCCCACGGAGGCUACCGAUCUGAGGAGCAAGAAGCGCUUCCCCUAUGGAGCUCAAGGUGGACACCAAGGCCGGGAUGGAGAUUGGGAGCUUCAAGUCGAAGUAGAACGGGAGUAGGGUUUCGUGUAGCCGAUUCGACGCCACAAUCACGAACGCCAAGGCAACGCCCUUGACCUCAAUUGCCAAGUGUAUUAGUGAAUUUUAGGGAGCUCGAAGAGAAGGUCGACGACCUCACGUUGAAGCCGUCUGAAAUGCCUUCGCAGAAAGAAGACUUUCUGCCUCUUGAUGCUGCUGUUCUUUAUGACAAAGAAUUAUAGGCCUAGCUGAUCAUUACUAAAAAGGCUUUACAUGAAUAUUUCAUGAAGCAUGAGCAACUGCUCGCAUUUAUCGAUCGCCAAGUGUAAGCCCUGGAUCAAGAUCUGGAUUUGGUCAUUUUGAAGCCGUCCAAAAAAAAGGGUACAGCUGCAAGUGGUUUCAUGAGGUGGAGAGUUGUUUCUGUAUCCAUAAGUCAACAAAUUUUAUUAGUCAUGAUAUUUAUCCUCAUGGUUUGUUUUUAGAAUUUGGCUUUCUUAUCUACAUUAAAUAUUACAUAAUUAUCUUUGUCAUCGUUAUUUGUAUUUCAUUUAGUUUUGGUAAUUUAUUUUGCCUUAGGAAUUCAAUUGUCUUCCAGUUAAAUUAUCGAAAAUUAUUUUUGUUUUCAUUCCUCUUAACUACCUUUUGGAUGUUUAUAUCAAUGUAGGUAAAUCUGCUACUCUGGCUGCAUGGCUACCAGUUUAAAGCUUCAUUCUUUUGAAAGGUGGUGAAGUGUUCUGUUAUGGUUCUGACCAAAUAUGCAACCCAAUCGAUAAUUGCUGGACGGCGUAUUGGGAUGAUGAAUCGCAAUACCUGGUUCGAUUCCUCGAUCCGAUGAGGUUGUAGCCGAGGAUAGGGGAUCGAAGAUGAUGGAAACAUUAUUCAAUCGAAUACUGAUCUUGAGUAUCAGUUGAUCGAGAUCGAGAAUUCGAAUGCCGUUGAGAUCCGAGCUUGAGGGAAGAUCUGAGAUGAGGAUUGGAGAAGAAGAAGAUGAGAGAGAGAGGGAAAGAGAAAGGGGAGGAGACGAGCUAGAGAGAGAGAGGGAUUGAGGAGAGAUUGGAAAUUUUAUUCAAAUCAUCGUUGCUUCUUACAGGUAAGAGCUACUAUUUAUACUCUUCAAUGUAAGGACUAAAAUGUAAGAAUUACAAUGGCAAGGGUCUAUCAGUAAUUGUAAUUAUACUCAGUGGACUAUUGUGGGCCUCAUCUUAACUUGGGCUGGGCUUUACUUAUUCAUCUUCAAGCGUCUCUCUCUUCUGCUCCCGGAUUCGGGUUGUCGUCCCCAAUGAAAAUGGUCGGACUCGUCACCCGCUAACAACAUCCAGACUAUUCUAAAGAGCGAACCCGUCAUCCGAUAGCGAAUUGGGAGUCGGAGUCGGCCGCGGUGAUGCUACAGAGAGAAGACACGAACCCAAUACCCGAUAUCCCUUCUUCUCAAGACUCCACCGCCAUCGUCUUCUUCAUCUUAGAUCCCCUUGUCUCACUCUACUCCUCCUUCUACUUUACCACUCUCCUAUCCUGAUGAAGCGAUCAUGACAAUAUUGGAGGAGAUGAGAAAUUAAAGGAGAGGAUCUUAAAGGAGAUGCAUGAUUCUCCUUUGGGGGGACAUUCAGGAAGGCAGCACACGUAUAAAAGAGUGAAACAAGUGUUCUACUGGCCCAAGCUAAAGGAGGAUGUGAAGAAGUACGUAGAGGAGUGCGAAAUCCGUCUCAAGAACAAAUCAGACAGUUCUAUGUACGCGGGACUUCUCCAACCACUACCAAACUCCAUUUACGAUGAUUGGGCUAUUGUGAUACAGGUGAAUGAGCAACCGAAGACCAAAGCUAUUAUGUACAUCUGUAGAAUAUGAUAUCCAUUUUGGAUUUUGAAAAUUUUCAUGCGUUUUUUCAGUGCUUUUCUCUGAAUGUCUGAUUAAUUCACUUGGUUUGUAAAUUUUCAGAACAAUGUAUUAAUGAGAAAGAGAAGUCAUAACGAAUAAAGAUGUGUUCUUUCUUAUUCAAUA